AUAUUUCUGGAAAUGAGUUGGGGACAAGGAAAAAGCUAUCAUUGCACAGACAUCUACCCCAAUUCUGCCUCGUACUGCACUCUCACUGAGAGACAAUGGUCCAAGAAGCACUCUCCCCUCUCCAUGGCUGGCUAGCUAGGUUCACAUUGGUGCAAAGAGCACUCGACAUUGCCAGAAGUGUGCAUCAUCAUGUCCCCACGCCAUCUUCCAGUGAGGAAGCCUGAGCAGCUGGGGAGAGGCCCAUAUGGAGAAGAACCAAAGUCCCCAGUCCCCAGCCCCAGACCAGCUGAAUUCCCAGCUAACAUCCAGCACUAAUUUGCCAGCCAAGAGAAUGACCUGUAUUGAAAGUGGAUUGUCCAGCCCCAGUUGGAGCCAUCUCAGCAGUUGCCAUGUGGAGCAGAUGCAAGUCAUUCCUGUCAAACUCUGUGCUUAUUUGUGAGCAAAAGAAAUAAUUGUUUUUGUUUUAAUCAACUUAGCUUUCAGGGAGUUUGUUACUGAGCAAUAGAUAACUGAUACAAUGGAAAAAUUCUAGAGGCAUUUUCACUAAAGUCAGAAACAAGACAUGGAUAACCCACUAUCACCACUCCUCUAUAUCAUAGCAGUGAACUUAUCAGGUAAUGUAACUAGGUGAAAGUAACUUUUUAUAUACACAAUAUAUGGCCAACUGACUUUCUCUUUAGAAUUUACAAUAAGCAUUUCUCUAAAUGCUCUUAGAAUUUGCAAUAAGCUUUUAUAUCGAUUGUAUACAUUAGCUACACAGUAAGCUAUUAAGUGGCUGCAAAAUAGUUUAUAUAUCUAUUUUCCUAGUUUUAAUAUUUUAUAAAAUUUCUACUAUUAUAAACAUGGCUGUCAUUAACAUCCUUGUGGUUAACAGAAUCACAUGGCAGGGAACAUUUUAAGAUGUUAAAAGAAAAACAUUAAAUUUCCCUAAAUUGAAUUUUUAGUAGCAACAAAAGAGACUGCAGAUUUGAAUUUAUUAUCACUCAUAAUAAUUAUCAUUCUUUGACAAUCUGAUUAGUGAAAAAUUGCAAUGCAGUGUUGUUUAUGUGCAUUUCAGUUAGGUAAAGAGCAAUUGCUAACCUGCUUUGAUUUGAAUAUUCAGGAAGAAGCUUCAAGGUUUGACUUGCCAGAAAGCUUUUUUCCAUGAACUGGAAAGUUAUUUUAGAAGUUGUUAAGGUCCCUUCUGCCAGCAAUAGUCUAUGCAUGCAAUAAUCAAAUAAAAAAGCUACUGCCUGACAUGUUUACCACAAAAACAAAAAUACAGUAAACUCUUAUACCUUGUAAUUUCACUAUUCAACAAUAUUUGCUGAAAACUGACCACGUGCCUUGUGUUAGGCCAAGAAUGUGGGAUUUGACAGAUAACUAGAAACUUUCCCCAUCCUCCAGGAACUUACUCUGUAAUUUGGAGAGAAGACAAACAUAGAAAUGCAUUUAUCAUUUCAUGAAGGUGAAUAAAGGCACAGCCAAACUGCAUUAAUACCA